AACGAACGCUGGCGGCAUGCCUAACACAUGCAAGUCGAACGAAGGCUUCGGCCUUAGUGGCGCACGGGUGCGUAACGCGUGGGAAUCUGCCCCUCGGUUCGGAAUAACAGUUAGAAAUGACUGCUAAUACCGGAUGAUGACUUCGGUCCAAAGAUUUAUCGCAGAGGGAUGAGCCCGCGUAAGAUUAGGUAGUUGGUGGGGUAAAGGCCUACCAAGCCGACGAUCUGUAGCUGGUCUGAGAGGAUGAUCAGCCACACUGGGACUGAGACACGGCCCAGACUCCUACGGGAGGCAGCAGUGGGGAAUAUUGGACAAUGGGCGAAAGCCUGAUCCAGCAAUGCCGCGUGAGUGAUGAAGGCCUUAGGGUUGUAAAGCUCUUUUACCAGGGAUGAUAAUGACAGUACCUGGAGAAUAAGCUCCGGCUAACUCCGUGCCAGCCGCCGCGGUAA
rnacentral:rRNA from 1 species